rnacentral:lncRNA from 1 species
UGAAAAUUUAACAAUUGUUUUAAUACCAGUUUAGCCCAAAAGUUAGAUAAAGAUAGGCCUGAGUGCUUAAAAUGUAUAAAUAGCAGUUUGAAAACCAGACAGAUUGUCAUGGACAGAAGAAUGUCAGUUUGCCAGCACAAUACCUUGCUCUGUGUACAACAUAAUAAUUAGAUAGGAGGUCCAGUCACGAUUUGACAAAUAAAAUGUUUCUUUGACAAUAUCGAUGAUGUAUUAGUGUUUUAAUCCAGUGGCAAAUAUCACAUGAUGAGAAUAAUUUAAUGAGAUUUGUAACAUAACUUAUACACUGUAUUUGUGGGGGAUAUUGAGUUUUUAGUGAAACAUCAAUAUUUAUGCAUGUUUUUAGCGAAAUUUAUUUGCUCUCAGUGUUUGUCAUUCAUAGAAUGUCAUGCAAUUUCAUAUGCCAGGUAUGGAACCCAUAGCAUCUCCACAUUUUCUUCAUUUGAUCAUUGUGCAAAAUAACAAUUUCAUUUCACAAAAAUUUUUCUGUUGGCAUGCAUUUGUCUGCAAACAUGUACAUGUAUACUGUUCCUGCUUGUUAUAAUUUUUACAACCUGUCUUACAUGUCUAAGUGAAACAAAUAAGGGAAAUGUGUCAUUGACAUUGAAUGGAAACAUCACUACACUAUUCUCUAUUUCUCAGAUGAUUUUUGGGGUCUCAAAGGAUGACAACAUUGUUAAUGAAGAGCGAAGAUGUGUUAGAAAGAGGUAAAUUGUUCAACACAUAUAUACAUAUAAAAAAGAAGAUGUGGUACGAUUGUGAAUGAGACAACUAUCUACAAGAAACCAAAAUGACACAGAAAUUAACAACUAUAGGUCACCGUACAGCAUACAUUUUGUAUGUUCUUCUGUUGAACUAUUUGGGUCAACUCAUUUCAACUUCAGAGAAAGACCCCCAGCAAGAAUUGUAAAAACUAAACCUUCAAGUACAAUGUAGGAAUUGAAUUAAAAUGUACAAAUAUCACUUUCAGAGACAUUACUACUUUAUUACUUUAAUUCUGAAACAGCAUACUACAUACAUGACAUAUGUG